GGAGAGAUGCCGGAGCGGUCGAACGGGGCGGUCUCGAAAACCGUUGAGGGCGUAAGCCCUCCGGGGGUUCGAAUCCCCCUCUCUCCGCCA
rnacentral:tRNA from 1 species